rnacentral:rRNA from 1 species
UACGUAGGGUGCUAGCGUUGUUCGGAAUCAUUGGGCGUAAAGCGCGUGUAGGCUGUUAAUUAAGUCGGGUGUGAAAUCCCUGGGCUCAACCGAGGAAGUGCAUCCGAAACUAAUUAGCUAGAGAAUGGUAGAGGAAGGUGGAAUUCCUAGUGUAGAGGUGAAAUUCGUAGAUAUUAGGAGGAAUACCGGUGGCGAAGGCGGCCUUCUGGACCAUUUCUGACGCUGAGACGCGAAAGCGUGGGUAGCAAACAGG